AAGAACCCGAGGCAUUGGCAUCAAAAGGAAAGGAGAAAGCUAUCGAGGACAAAAACGGGAGAUUUACGGUCAUUAGGGUUCAAGGUCCAGUUCAGCAUCCAAAAAGAUCCCGACUCCAUCAAGAAAAUUUUGGUGAUGUAUUUCUUUCUUUUGUUUAAGUGGCAUGUACUAGGUGAUUGAACACGAGUUGUAUAUAUAUGAAGCCAAUUAGCAUAAAUUUAUAUGAAUUUAUAAUCAUUUUAUAAUAUGUUUGUUAUUUAUUUAAGAAUUAAUUGUAAAUUGUUUGAUAUGUCCAGUAAUGCCUCGUAAACCUGUUCCGGCGACGAUUUAGGGUUAGGGGGUGUUACAGAGAGUUAAAGUUGUUUAAAAUUCUACUAUGCUAGGAAUAAUAUGUAUAAGUGAUGCUGUGGAUUUAUUCGCCUUGUGAGUUGUUGAAUAUAACUUCACGAGUAUUGCGGUAUCAAUA